CGGCAACAGCUCAAAUUUGAAAUCUGGCCUUUGGCCCGAGUUGUAAUUUGUAGAGGAUGCUUUUGGUGCGGUGCCUUCCGAGUUCCCUGGAACGGGACGCCUUAGAGGGUGAGAAUCCCGUAUGCGGCCAGGUGCCUACGCUCAUGUGAAGCUCCUUCGAC
rnacentral:rRNA from 1 species